rnacentral:rRNA from 1 species
ACGCACGCUGGCGGCCUGCCUCACCCAUGCAAGUCGCACGCGACCUUCGGGUCUAGUGGCGCACGGGUGCGUAACGCGUGGGAACCUGCCCUUAGGUUCGGAAUAACUCCCCGAAAGGGGUGCUAAUACCGGAUAAUGUCUUCGGACCAAAGAUUUAUCGCCUUUGGAUGGGCCCGCGUUGGAUUAGCUAGUUGGUGGGGUAAAAGCCUACCAAGGCGACGAUCCAUAGCUGGUCUGAGAGGAUGAUCAGCCACACUGGGACUGAGACACGGCCCAGACUCCUACGGGAGGCAGCAGUGGGGAAUAUUGGACAAUGGGCGAAAGCCUGAUCCAGCAAUGCCGCGUGAGUGAUGAAGGCCUUAGGGUUGUAAAGCUCUUUUACCCGGGAUGAUAAUGACAGUACCGGGAGAAUAAGCUCCGGCUAACUCCGUG